UACGUAGGGGGCAAGCGUUGUCCGGAAUCAUUGGGCGUAAAGCGCGUGUAGGCGGUUCGGUAAGUCUGCUGUGAAAGUCCAGGGCUCAACCCUGGGAUGCCGGUGGAUACUGUCGGACUAGAGUACGGAAGAGGCGAGUGGAAUUCCCGGUGUAGCGGUGAAAUGCGCAGAUAUCAGGAGGAACACCGGUGGCGAAGGCGGAUCUCUGGGCCAUUACUGACGCUGAGGAGCGAAAGCGUGGGGAGCGAACAGG
rnacentral:rRNA from 1 species